rnacentral:rRNA from 1 species
GACGAACGCUGGCGGCGUGCAUAACACAUGCAAGUCGAACGGAAAGGCCCUGCUUUUGUGGGGUGCUCGAGUGGCGAACGGGUGAGUAACACGUGAGUAACCUGCCCUUGACUUUGGGAUAACUUCAGGAAACUGGGGCUAAUACCGGAUAGGAGCUCCUGCUGCAUGGGGGGGGUUGGAAAGUUUCGGCGGUUGGGGAUGGACUCGCGGCUUAUCAGCUUGUUGGUGGGGUAGUGGCUUACCAAGGCUUUGACGGGUAGCCGGCCUGAGAGGGUGACCGGCCACAUUGGGACUGAGAUACGGCCCAGACUCCUACGGGAGGCAGCAGUGGGGAAUAUUGCACAAUGGGCGGAAGCCUGAUGCAGCAACGCCGCGUGCGGGAUGACGGCCUUCGGGUUGUAAACCGAUUUCGCCUGUGACGAAGCGUGAGUGACGGUAAUGGGUAAAGAAGCACCGGCUAACUACGUG